rnacentral:sRNA from 1 species
GGCGCGGCUAGGGCGACGGCCCGAACAUCCGGCACCGCACCGGACCGCCGCGCCGACCUUUCACGCGG